GCACAUUAAAUUGUGUGAUCGUCAAUAUACCAUAGAAAACUCAGAGUGAGCUUCCGGUCUGAAAGGAGGUGUAACCGUGACGACUUCGGCUGGUAUCGCUCAACCGAACAAUCUGGAGAAAUAAUUCAAGUGUGUGUUGGAGAACUACAAAAACAGCCACCGUGCCCCGCCGCGCCCCCACACCCAGCGGAGCCGUCAUGUGGCAGGAGGCCCGCAAACAUGAGCGCAAGCUGCGCGGCAUGAUGGUGGACUACAAACGCCGCGGCGAGCGCCGGCGAGAGUACUACGAGAAGAUCAAAAAGGACCCGGCUCAGUUCCUGCAGGUUCACGGCCGGGCCUAUAAGAUCCAUCUGGACUCGGCCGUGGCGCUCGCCGCAGAAAGCCCCAUCAACAUGAUGCCCUGGCAGGGAGACGCCAACAACAUGAUUGACAGGUUUGAUGUGAGGGCACACCUGGACUUCAUACUCACCUACACCCCUCCGCUCCUCAACACAGCCACCCCAGAACAGGAGUCGGAGGAGAGGAAGUGCAACUAUGAGCGUUACAGAGGCCUAGUGCAGAAUGACUUUGCCAGCAUCUCUGAGGAGCAGUGUUUGUACCAGAUCCAAAUGGACGAGCUCUAUGGUGGCCUGCAGAGGCCAAAUGAGGACGAGAAGAAAAAGCUUGCCAAGGAGAAGGCCACCAUUGGCUACACGUACGAGGACAGUACUGUUACGAAGCCUGGGGAGGAAGAAGAGAAAGGGGAGGAGGAGGACUCUGACAACAGCGAAUCAGAGGACGACGAGGGUAUUCCAGACAUUGACGUGGAGGUGGACGUUGACGAGCUCAACACGGAGCAGGAGUUGGAUCUGAACAAGAUGGCCACUCCAUAUGGAAUGGCAGAGGGAGAUUUUGUCAGGAUGCUGAGGAAAGACAAGGAUGAGCUGGAGGCCAUUAAACAUGCCAAGGCUCUGGAGGCAGAGAAGGCCAUGUACUCGGGCCGUCGCUCUCGCAGACAGAGGAGGGAGUUCAGAGAGAAGAGACUGAAGGGCAGACAGAUCAGCCCACCCAGCUAUGCCAGGAGAGACAGCCCAACCUACGAUCCCUACAAACGGCCCCAGUCGGAGUCCAGUUCGGAGUCGCGGUCCCACUCUCGUUCCCCGGGCCCAGAGAAGAUCACCUUCAUCACCAGCUUCGGAGGCAGUGAUGAGGAGGCUGCCGCUGCAACUCAAGCUCCACCCCCUGUCCACACCCCCGCCAACUCGCUGCACCACCCCGCAGGUCAUAGCAGGGGCUCCCGCAGACGGCGCUCUUCCUCCAGCCCUUCCUCUUCCACCCACUCUUCCACUCAUCGCUCCUCCUCUCGUUCCUCCUCUCACUCACGCCGCGACAGACGCCGUGGAGGAGGGAGGGACAGACGGCAUUCCCGCUCCCGGUCGAGGCGGCGCUCCGACUCGCGGUCCCGGGGUAGAGGAGCCAACGGAGGAGGAAGAGGGGGGUCACGGAGGAGAUACGACCGGACACAGUCCCGCUCCAAUGACCGAGAUGGAGACCGGGAGAGGGACAGGGAGCGAGACAGGGACGUGGGACGUCGCUUCGCAGCACGCAGACGCACACGGUCCCGCUCUAACUCUCGGCAGGGGGACCGUACCAGGCAGGGGGGUGGGGGGCGGACUUCAGGAGGCCAUCAGAGGGGGGUCAGCAGCAGCAGUCCUAGCCCCUCCCAAUCCCCCCAGCCCAGCUGUACCCCUUCCCCCUCACACAGAGGAGGCCCGCCCUCUGCCACUGCACUCUGUGACAAGCUGAGAAAGCCUGAUACUCCGGGUGGUAAAGAGACGGGAGCUGCCAAAGUCACCCAGGAUGACCCCGCAGGAGAAGCUGAAGAUACGCAUGCAGAAGGCCCUCAACAGGCAGUCCAAGGCGGAUAAGAAAGCAGCCCAGGCGAAAGUCACUCAGCAGGAAAAUAAGCGAGCGGAGCGUGAGGGAGAGCUCAGAGCCAUGGCACGCAAGAUCCGCAUGAAGGAGCGUGAGCGUCGGGAGAAAGAGAGGGACGAGUGGGAGAGACAGUACGGACGACAAAGCCACUCGCCCUCCCCAUCUAAAUAUGGUCGUGACCACAGCUCAUCCAGAAGGAGGUCCCGUUCCCGGUCGAGGAGUCCAUAUUACCGAUACUAAACAUACCGAUUGGACCCACUAACCCCCCACAACCCUCCUCAUCCCCUCUGGCUACUCUUCCAGUGAAGAGAUUUGAGAAAAGGAGAGAAGUGAGGGACAGUGUGCUGAAUGGAAGAGAAGUGGUAGAGAGACUGAAUGAGAGUGAGGUAGAGAUGGAUGGGGAGAGGAAAAUGGAAGAGCUGAAUUGGAGUCCGGAGAUUGAGAUUUGGUAGUUAUUGCAUCUGGCCACAUUUUAGUAUCUCAGUAAUUCUGCAUACAUAUUAUCUCCUUUAUGAUGGCCUUAACUUGCUUUUACUCCAUCUCUGGGUGCUCUUUCUAUCUUUCCCCAUGCCCCGUCCCCUCAAUCUCUCUCUGAGAAGAGUAUGUUGCCAUCACUGAAUAGCACAUGAAUAGGAUGUAAAAGAAUCUGAUUUAAAUUUGACCUUCAUCUGUGUACAUAGUUUUCUUCAAUUACAAGUGAGUGAACAUUGAUGAAAUCCUGAGGCGGUGUGUAGCUCCAUGUGAAUAUGAAAAAUAAUUGAUCGUUAAUGAUUUUAAUCUUUUUGUAUGGCAUGCCUCCAACCACUCACCUUUUGAAUUGAGACUUGAUUGUACUCUUCUGAGUAACAGAUUGUCUUUUUUGUUGUUUUCAUCCAAAUAUAUGGUCAGUUAUCAAACUGAGAAAUACAAAUAAAAUGCACAAAAGUAUCUGAUGUCGA